GACGUAGGGCGCGAGCGUUGUCCGGAUUUAUUGGGCGUAAAGAGCGUGUAGGCGGCCAGGUAGGUCCGUUGUGAAAACUGGAGGCUUAACCUCCAGCUGUCGAUGGAAACCAUCUGGCUAGAGUCCGGAAGAGGAGAGUGGAAUUCCUGGUGUAGCGGUGAAAUGCGCAGAUAUCAGGAGAACACCAGUGGCGAAGGCAGCUCG
rnacentral:rRNA from 1 species